UCGGAUGGAGUCUUCCUGAGUCGAUAGUAGAGAGGGUUCUAACUCUUCAGCUGUUUUGAUCGCUUGAGCACAUAGUGUUUGCGUGGAUUCUCGUCACUAUUUCUCCCCUCAUGCUUUCUUUUGCUAGCCAACCCCUGUUUGAGAGAACCAAUAUAUAGAGGAGCAUCAUCGAAUUCACAUUACAGUUUUCAGCACAAGAGAACAAGGCGACAUGUUAAAGCUUGAAGAGAGUUCUUGUCCAAAUCACAUUAGCAGACAACCGGAGGCCUUCGUAAUUGUUUUAAGAGGGCGAACUGCCCGGACGUGUCUCCGAACCCCCAAACGACGAGGUAGGCACCUAAAUGCACCCCUGUCAUAAAAUCUUUCUCAUUGUUGGUUCCGAUCCGCACUAAAGAGAGCACGUGUGCACACACCAACGAGCGUGCAGCGCGCGUGGACGCUCCUUGGUUGUUUCAUAAAGGAUAUUUCCCACAGUCCGUGCAAGAAAAAAUCAGGUCCGACCAAUAAUGACUUGAUAUAUAUCGGUAAAUUAGGUAAUGAUGCUUGAAUCAAUGUCACCAUUUCUCCCAUAAGUAAAUGAUUUGUUUUCAACAAAUCUAGUUUAAUAUGUGCUCUUUGAAUUAUAUGAUCCCAUACAGAUUUAGGCUACUUAGAAGUCUGGAAUUUGCAAUCUCAAAUACUUUAUAAGAAACUUUUAACCUUGCCUUCCAUUUCUUGAGAACAUCCAACACCAACCAAUGAAGUUUGAACAAAAUUAAUUUUUAACCCCAAAACCAUCUCACAACAUUGUAGCAUCCUUUUAAUUCCUUUAAUUUCCUCCCCUUGUGCCCCACAAAACAGUAAUGUGUCAUUUGCAUAUUGUAAAUGCGAGAUGACUAAACCUCCAUAAUUAGUAACCUUAAAAGUAUUGAAACGACCUCUUUAAUGUGCAAUAGAAAUCAUUAAACUAAAAGCUUCUGCCACCAUAGAACGAUGAUAACGGGUCCCCUUGCCAUAACCCUCUUGAAAAUUUAAAAAAUUUAGGGCUCCC
rnacentral:lncRNA from 1 species